GGGGGGAUGACGGAUAGUCCUCCCUCUAAAAGCGUGGAUGAAUGGAAACAAAUAAACUGUCGGGAAUAGUCAUAAUUUUUAUAAAUCUUCGAAUGCGUCCAAAUAUAAGACGCAGACAAAAUUAUGGGAUUUUUCUAAUGUCUCAGCACUGACCCUUGUCUACGUCUCUCUUUUAUUGUGGCUCAUUGCCUUUUCACUAUUGAUAUUUAUGAUUAACAAAUGGUAAGAGUGCCGUCUUGUUCUGAUAAAGCUUCUUUUGAAGGAGUUAAAUGAGAACCAGUAAUGGUUUUAAAGUGAAUUAGGCAGUAUUAUACUCUCCCAAGCUGUUUUCUUUCAAAGCACUUUGGGGUCAUCAUCAAUUCUUGAUUAUUUCUUGUGGCCAUAUGCCUGUAUUCCUUAUUCUCGACUGUCACAUAGAGGCAACAUCGCCAUCAAAUUUUAAGGCUAGAACACCCACAUGGAAGCAAGGAAUAUCACUCAUUUUGGCUGUAAGAAAAUGGAGAGCUGUGGUUUUAAGAAGAUGGCUUUGCUGCUGCUCUGUCCGCUUCGUGUGAAAUGGCAAUCAUCCUACUGGUUGUUGUGACUACAUGUAUUGUCUCUAAUAGUGCAGAUUGAUUGUACUACAUAAUCUAAGUCAUGUCUGGAAUAGCUUAGAUUAUGGCUUUCCUUGAUUGAUCUAUAUAUCUUAUCUAGAGGAAAAAUAGGAGAAAACACACGAAAUGUUUGAGAUGGGUGAAGUACUGCACGUAUCUGAUUUUAAAUUUGAUCAGGGAACUUGGUAGUCACAGAUUAAGAGAACGUACCUGAAAAGUAAUACAUAUUUCUGGUUUU